rnacentral:rRNA from 1 species
GACGAACGUUGGCGGCGUGCUUAACACAUGCAAGUCGAACGGAAAGGCCCUGCUUUUGUGGGGUGCUCGAGUGGCGAACGGGUGAGUAACACGUGAGUAACCUGCCCUUGACUUUGGGAUAACUUCAGGAAACUGGGGCUAAUACCGGAUAGGAGCUCCUGCUGCAUGGUGGGGGUUGGAAAGUUUCGGCGGUUGGGGAUGGACUCGCGGCUUAUCAGCUUGUUGGUGGGGUAGUGGCUUACCAAGGCUUUGACGGGUAGCCGGCCUGAGAGGGUGACCGGCCACAUUGGGACUGAGAUACGGCCCAGACUCCUACGGGAGGCAGCAGUGGGGAAUAUUGCACAAUGGGCGGAAGCCUGAUGCAGCAACGCCGCGUGCGGGAUGACGGCCUUCGGGUUGUAAACCGCUUUCGCCUGUGACGAAGCGUGAGUGACGGUAAUGGGUAAAGAAGCACCGGCUAACUACGUGCCAGCAGCCGCGGUGAUACGUAGGGUGCGAGCGUUGUCCGGAUUUAUUGGGCGUGAAGGGCUCGUAGGUGGUUGAUCGCGUCGGAAGUGUAAUCUUGGGGCUUAACCCUGAGCGUGCUUUCGAUACGGGUUGACUUGAGGAAGGUAGGGGAGAAUGGAAUUCCUGGUGGAGCGGUGGAAUGCGCAGAUAUCAGGAGGAACACCAGUGGCGAAGGCGGUUCUCUGGGCCUUUCCUGACGCUGAGGAGCGAAAGCGUGGGGAGCGAACAGGCUUAGAUACCCUGGUAGUCCACGCUGUAAACGGUGGGUACUAGGUGUGGGGUCCAUUCCACGGGUUCCGUGCCGUAGCUAACGCUUUAAGUACCCCGCCUGGGGAGUACGGCCGCAAGGCUAAAACUCAAAGGAAUUGACGGGGCCCCGCACAAGCGGCGGAGCAUGCGGAUUAAUUCGAUGCAACGCGUAGAACCUUACCUGGGUUUGACAUGGAUCGGGAGUGCUCAGAGAUGGGUGUGCCUCUUUUGGGGUCGGUUCACAGGUGGUGCAUGCCUGUCGUCAGCUCGUGUCGUGAGAUGUUGGGUUAAGUCCCGCAACGAGCGCAACCCUUGUUCACUGUUGCCAGCACGUUAUGGUGGGGACUCAGUGGAGACCGCCGGGGUCAACUCGGAGGAAGGUGGGGAUGACGUCAAGUCAUCAUGCCCCUUAUGUCCAGGGCUUCACGCAUGCUACAAUGGCUGGUACAGAGAGUGGCGAGCCUGUGAGGGUGAGCGAAUCUCGGAAAGCCGGUCUCAGUUCGGAUUGGGGUCUGCAACUCGACCUCAUGAAGUCGGAGUCGCUAGUAAUCGCAGAUCAGCAACGCUGCGGUGAAUACGUUCCCGGGGCU